UACGUAGGGUGCAGGCGUUAAUCGGAAUUACUGGGCGUAAAGCGUGCGCAGGCGGCUAUGCAAGACAGAUGUGAAAUCCCCGGGCUCAACCUGGGAACUGCAUUUGUGACUGCAUAGCUAGAGUACGGUAGAGGGGGAUGGAAUUCCGCGUGUAGCAGUGAAAUGCGUAGAGAUCCCCAAGAACACCAGUUGCGAAGGCGGCCGACUGGACACAUAUUGACGCUGAGGCUCGAAAGCAUGGGGAGCAAACAGG
rnacentral:rRNA from 1 species